UUCUGAUCGACCAGGAGGGUGCUCCAAGGAGCAAAACCCUAGUUCACACUAAAUGACCAAAUUGAAGCUCGAAUCAAGACUCAAAUCACUGCAUGAACACAUAAAAACGAUCACCUAGUCAUGGGGAUCACAAGUUUGACGAUUAACAAGCUAGGUGAAAGCUUGGGAACGAAGCGAGUCAAACGAAGCAAGAAUGACGGAAAAGCAUAAUUUGGAUGUAAGGAGUAAAUGUCAAAUGAGUAUUAGCAACAUUAUGGAUUAGCGGUUAUAAAAGCAAGGUAUUAAAAACGGGUCAAUAUAUUGAUCCGCGCCAGGUAUGUGAAAAACGGCAACACUCAUUUAGAAUAUGCGGUUCGAUGAGUGUUGAAAGAAGUCAAAAUAAACAUUUGGUUACUUGAUAAGUAAACCGAAUGUUUAAAAUAAUGAACAUUGCGUUUGGAAAGCUUAAUGACUUUUCAAACAAAAAUCAUAGGUUAAAAGAGGGAUUAUGGGUCAAAUAUACCUUCAAAAGUCCUUCAUCGUAAAUGAUUAGCUAAACAGACUAAAACGCCCUUAUAAGCUAAAUUGGACAAACGACCUUUAAAGGUAGUUUUGAAACGAGUUUUAUGAUCAUAUAAAUAAUUAGAAUAAGUAUAAGAAGCGAAAGAUGUAAACCCUUGGUCAAAUGACUCUAUAUGAGUCUUUGUCGUUAAUUAGCAAUCCGACGAGAAAAACUCGGAUUAUAUA